rnacentral:rRNA from 1 species
CCUACGGGUGGCAGCAGUGGGGAACAUUGCACAAUGGGGGAAACCCUGAUGCAGCGACGCCGCGUGAGUGAAGAAGUAUUUCGGUAUGUAAAGCUCUAUCAGCAGGAACGAGACAAGACGGUACCUGACUAAGAAGCCCCGGCUAACUACGUGCCAGCAGCCGCGGUAAUACGUAGGGGGCAAGCGUUAUCCGGAUUUACUGGGUGGAAAGGGAGCGCAGACGGCUGUGCAAGUCUGGAGUGAAAGGCGGGGGCCCAACCCCCGGACUGCUCUGGAAACUGUAAAGCUGGAGUGCAGGAGAGGUAAGCGGAAUUCCUAGUGUAGCGGUGAAAUGCGUAGAUAUUAGGAGGAACACCAGUGGCGAAGGCGGCUUACUGGACUGCAACUGACGUUGAGGCUCGAAAGCGUGGGGAGCAAACAGGAUUAGAUACCCUAGUAGUC